rnacentral:snRNA from 1 species
AUACUUACCUGGGAGGGGAGAUACCGUGAUCACGAAAGUGGUUCUCCCAGGGCGAGGCUUAUCCAUUGCACUCCGGAUGUGCUGACCCCUGCGAUUUCCCCAAAUGUGGGAAACUCGACUGCAUAAUUUGUGGUAGUGGGGGACUGCGUUCGCGCUCUCCCCUA